CCGGAAGACCAAGGGUUCCUGUCCAACGUUAAUCGGGGCAGGGUGAGUCGACCCCUAAGGCGAGGCCGAAAGGCGUAGUCGAUGGGAAACAGGUUAAUAUUCCUGUACUUGGUGUUACUGCGAAGGGGGGACGGAGAAGGCUAUGUUGGCCGGGCGACGGUUGUCCCGGUUUAAGCGUGUAGGCUGGUUUUCCAGGCAAAUCCGGAAAACUAAGGCUGAGGCGUGAUGACGAGGCACUACGGUGCUGAAGCAACAAAUGCCCUGCUUCCAGGAAAAGCCUCUAAGCAUCAGGUAACAUCAAAUCGUACCCCAAACCGACACAGGUGGUCAGGUAGAGAAUACCAAGGCGCUUGAGAGAACUCGGGUGAAGGAACUAGGCAAAAUGGUGCCGUAACUUCGGGAGAAGGCACGCUGAUAUGUAGGUGAAGUCCCUCGCGGAUGGAGCUGAAAUCAGUCGAAGAUACCAGCUGGCUGCAACUGUUUAUUAAAAACACAGCACUGUGCAAACACGAAAGUGGACGUAUACGGUGUGACGCCUGCCCGGUGCCGGAAGGUUAAUUGAUGGGGUCAGCGCAAGCGAAGCUCUUGAUCGAAGCCCCGGUAAACGGCGGCCGUAACUAUAACGGUCCUAAGGUAGCGAAAUUCCUUGUCGGGUAAGUUCCGACCUGCACGAAUGGCGUAAUGAUGGCCAGGCUGUCUCCACCCGAGACUCAGUGAAAUUGAACUCGCUGUGAAGAUGCAGUGUACCCGCGGCAAGACGGAAAGACCCCGUGAACCUUUACUAUAGCUUGACACUGAACAUUGAGCCUUGAUGUGUAGGAUAGGUGGGAGGCUUUGAAGUGUGGACGCCAGUCUGCAUGGAGCCGACCUUGAAAUACCACCCUUUAAUGUUUGAUGUUCUAACGUUGACCCGUAAUCCGGGUUGCGGACAGUGUCUGGUGGGUAGUUUGACUGGGGCGGUCUCCUCCUAAAGAGUAACGGAGGAGCACGAAGGUUGGCUAAUCCUGGUCGGACAUCAGGAGGUUAGUGCAAUGGCAUAAGCCAGCUUGACUGCGAGCGUGACGGCGCGAGCAGGUGCGAAAGCAGGUCAUAGUGAUCCGGUGGUUCUGAAUGGAAGGGCCAUCGCUCAACGGAUAAAAGGUACUCCGGGGAUAACAGGCUGAUACCGCCCAAGAGUUCAUAUCGACGGCGGUGUUUGGCACCUCGAUGUCGGCUCAUCACAUCCUGGGGCUGAAGUAGGUCCCAAGGGUAUGGCUGUUCGCCAUUUAAAGUGGUACGCGAGCUGGGUUUAGAACGUCGUGAGACAGUUCGGUCCCUAUCUGCCGUGGGCGCUGGAGAACUGAGGGGGGCUGCUCCUAGUACGAGAGGACCGGAGUGGACGCAUCACUGGUGUUCGGGUUGUCAUGCCAAUGGCACUGCCCGGUAGCUAAAUGCGGAAGAGAUAAGUGCUGAAAGCAUCUAAGCACGAAACUUGCCCCGAGAUGAGUUCUCCCUGACUCCUUGAGAGUCCUGAAGGAACGUUGAAGACGACGACGUUGAUAGGCCGGGUGUGUAAGCGCAGUGAUGCGUUGAGCUAACCGGUACUAAUGAACCGUGAGGCUUAACCUU
rnacentral:rRNA from 1 species